CACUACUGUAAUUAUGGUCGUGCACGUGCACACUUCACACGAUUGACAGUGAUUGCGUGAUUCUCUCGUGCAUGCGGUGCACGACACUUGUAUACAACAUGGAAAGGCCCGUGAUUUCGCGUAACAGAUACGAUACGUUUUCUAAUGACUUCGUGAUACCGGCUGAACAACUGGUGCGCGACUGUUCCAUUAUCGACUCUGUUCCAUUAUCGAGACUCUUCCUGUAUCCGGAAUCCGCGUUUCUCUUAACAUUCGUAUCAACGAGUAUCAGAUUAAUUUGACAACACAGAUAGUCUGCGAUAAGAUGAUGGUAUCUAUAUUUUGAAUACGAUUAUCGUUUUCUUUUUCUUUUUCUAGGUUAGGUUUGUCGUUAUUUCUCGCAAUAGCGUGAUAAAAGCUUUGCUUCUCAACCAGUGGGUGUUCAAUUUUUGAGAUCUUUUGGGUCUCUCAUUGGCCAACAAAAAUUUGUCGAAAUAUCAGUUCAUCAGUAUUCGAUUUGAUACAGGAAAAAAUCUGUUCGCAAAUACAGAGUGAUUCACGCAACUUGCACACCUGAAAUAACUUUUCAAUUACGAGUCCAAUGAAAAAUUGUUUGUCACAAAAGUUGUAUGUUUUUCAGGGAGGCAAAAUAUGCUAAAUUUAUUAAAUAUAAUAACGCUAAAUUUAAAAAAAGG